AAGCCACGAGCCACGUGGCAAGAGAAAUCCAACAUAUUCUCACCUGUGUUCAGACCAGGCUGCCUUGCAUCACCUGACUGAUAUUUACCAAGAGGAGGAAGUUUGGGACCUGCUUGCUGAACCUCGUGCUGGGGUCGCCCCAGUUCCUAAUCUCCAGCCAGCCCCACCAAUGGGAAUGUUCACACCCAUUAUGUCCAGCUCCGGUGGUUCGGAUUUAAAGAUAAUAAUAAAAAUGAAAACUCUCCGAAUCUACUGUUCCUUUAACAUAUCAAUGUAGACCUAAAAUCCUGGGCCGGCAGGAAGGGCGGAUGUUCUGCUUUGGGUACAUCUGUAUCUUUCACAGUGCUCAGAGGUGGAAAGCCUUCCCAGGGUUCAAAGCCUUUGGGGAAAACCCUAGAUUGCUGAGAUGCGUCUCUGCUCCAUAAAGGU